GGAUGGUCCUCUUUGUAGUCUUCCACAGCUUUCUUGAACUGCUUCCGUUGAAUGGGAGUGAAGACAAUCUCAAUUGCAGUUCAAUAAAGCUGUGGGAGAUGACAAGGAGCGGCCAAAGAACCA
rnacentral:miRNA from 15 species